AAACCGAAUGAUUUGGUGCCACGAAGUGUCUUUUAUUUCGCAUUGAACGAAUCCACUUUUUUUAAACAAAAUAGUGACAGUUUUAGUGGGUUUUUUCUCACUAACAUCGAUCGAAUAGCGAAUGUGUUGAGAGAACGAAAAAGUUCAGUUGCCCAGUUUACGGUGUCGAAAAACUUUUUGAGAAACACAAUUGAGAAGGCAAAAUUUCCUUCUUUGGAAGGAGGAAAUUCAUCGUGAUCCCGGACACGUUCAAUUGGUUCAAAAAAAUCGAAUCGUCAAUCAAUUUUCUUUAUUGACAUCAGUGCAAAGGCUGUUCCUGCACCGUCGAUGCCCACGCUCCAAGGAACUAUGACCACGUUAACUACUGAAGAUUUUUUGAAGGAUGGUACAAACGAACUUGUGAAGGCUAUUAGGAUGGAAAUGAAGAAGAUUCUCAAUAGUCUCGCCAUGUUCUUCAGAUCCAAAUACCAAUUUUGGGAGACUAACCAACCCUUGCAAAAAUAACGGAUACUAAAGCAUUAUUGGACGAAGAUUUACAAAAGAAUCAUCCGUUUUCAUGUGAGCUGACUGAGUCAUGAAACGAGCAUUGUCUCGCAAUAAAAUUCCAUACGUGCACAAUUAAAUCUCAAAACAUUUAAACUUUUGUUUUUUUCCCCUAGUUUCUUACCAGUUUUCUACAUUUUUCUUACAUUUAUAUCUAAUUUUUUGAGCAUGCAUGAAUAACAACUCAAAACAUCUCGACCUUUUUUUCCUGUCAUUUCAACCUUCCAUUUAUUCCAAUUAUUUUUCAUUAAAUCGUCGACAUCAUCGAUGCCAUGG